UGGUUAUCGAGAUUAUGUGU
rnacentral:siRNA from 1 species